rnacentral:rRNA from 1 species
UACAGAGGGUGCAAGCGUUGUUCGGAAUUAUUGGGCGUAAGGGAGUGUAGGCGGUUAGUUAAGUCUUCUGUGAAAGCUGUGGGCUCAGCCUGCAAAGUGCAGAGGAAACUGGCUGACUUGAGUGUCGGAGAGGAUAGGGGAAUACCCAGUGUAGAGGUGAAAUUCGUAGAGAUUGGGUGGAACACCAGUGGCGAAGGCGCCUGUCUGGCUGACAACUGACGCUGAUGCGCGAAAGCCAGGGGAGCAAACGGG